GCUUACGGCCAUACCAUCCUGAACACGCCCGAUCUCGGAAGCAUAGCAGGGUCGGGCCUGGUUAGUACUUGGAUGGGAGACCGCCUGGGAAUACCAGGUGCUGUAAGCC
rnacentral:rRNA from 15 species